UGUGUACUCCCUCCGUCCAACAAAGGAUGUCUCAAUUUUAAUCAAAUUUGAAUGCAUUUAUACACUAAGUCAUGUCUAGAUACAUCCAAAUUUUGACAAACUUGAGACAACUUUUGUUGGACAGAGGGAGUACAAU
rfam:Brachypodium distachyon strain Bd21 chromosome 4, whole genome shotgun sequence.